AGAUUGAACGCUGGCGGCAUGCCUUACACAUGCAAGUCGAACGGCAGCACGGGAGCAAUCCUGGUGGCGAGUGGCGAACGGGUGAGUAAUACAUCGGAACGUGCCCAAUCGUGGGGGAUAACGCAGCGAAAGCUGUGCUAAUACCGCAUAAGAUCUACGGAUGAAAGCAGGGGAUCGCAAGACCUUGCGCGAAUGGGAGCGGCCGAUGGCAGAUUAGGUAGUUGGUGAGGUAAAGGCUCACCAAGCCUUCGAUCUGUAGCUGGUCUGAGAGGACGACCAGCCACACUGGGACUGGAGACACGGCCCAGACCUCCUACGGGAGGCAGCAGGUGGGGAAUUUUGGACAAGUGGGACGAAGCCUGAUCCAGCCAUCGCCGCGU
rnacentral:rRNA from 1 species